AGGUGCAUUGAUUCAGGAUGGUUAAAGUUCUAAUCGCCGUGUUGUUGUUAGGAUUACUCAGCACAUGUGCAGAUGGUUUUAUAAUACGCAACUACCCAAGAAGCUGUCCAUUCGAUCGAACACGUGGGGCGAGAUCCAGUCGGACUAUUUGCUUGGCCCGCUGUACAUCAGAUAGCGACUGCCCGAUUUCGAUGAAGUGUUGCAACAUUGGAUGUCUUCUGGACUGCAUAUGAACAGUCUAUGAUUAACUUCAAUAUGCACUUUAUAUAUGAGAAAUACACAUUUAACGAAUGGACUGUGCACACAUAAGAUUUGAUUUUUAUGCUUACAACUUUCAAUUUCCAAUAAAUUCAUUUUCAUUGA